CGCCUUGCCAGCCCGCUACAGAACUCAAAGGAAUUGACGGGGGCCCGCACAAGCGGUGGAGUAUGUGGUUUAAUUCGAUGCAACGCGAAGAACCUUACCUGGUCUUGACAUCCCGGAGACCCUUAGGAAACUAGGGGGUGCUUCCAUCUGGAAGAAUCUGGAGACAGGUGCUGCAUGGCUGUCGUCAGCUCGUGUCGUGAGAUGUUGGGUUAAGUCCCGCAACGAGCGCAACCCUUGCCUUUAGUUGCCAGCAGUUCGGCUGGGCACUCUAAAGGGACUGCCGGUGUUAAACCGGAGGAAGGUGGGGAUGACGUCAAGUCCUCAUGGCCUUUAUGACCAGGGCUACACACGUACUACAAUGGCCGAUACAAAGGGCAGCGACACUGCGAGGUGAAGCCAAUCCCGUAAAAUCGGUCUCAGUCCGGAUUGGAGUCUGCAACUCGACUCCAUGAAGUUGGAAUCGCUAGUAAUCGUGGAUCAGCAUGCCACGGUGAAUACGUUCCCGGGCCUU
rnacentral:rRNA from 1 species